rnacentral:rRNA from 1 species
AAUACCGAAUACACCCUGCUGGCUGCAUGGUCUGGUGGGGGAAAGCUUUUGCGGUGUGGGAUGGGCCCGCGGCCUAUCAGCUUGUUGGUGAGGUUACGGCUCACCAAGGCGACCACGGGUAGCCGGCCUGAGAGGGUGACCGGCCACACUGGGACUGAGAUACGGCCCAGACUCCUACGGGAGGCAGCAGUGGGGAAUAUUGCACAAUGGGCGCAAGCCUGAUGCAGCGACGCCGCGUGRGGGAUGACGGCCUUCGGGUUGUAAACCUCUUUCACCAGGGACGAAGCGCAAGUGACGGUACCUACAGAAGAAGGACCGGCCAACUACGUGCCAGCAGCCGCGGUAAU